GGGGGGGGGGGGGGGGGGGCGGGGGGGGGGGUGGGCGGGGGGGGGGGCGGGGCGGUGGGGGGGUGCUCGAGGGGCGAACGGGUGAGUGGCACGUGGGUAACCUGCCCUUGACUUUGGGAUAACUUCAGGGAACUGGGGCUAAUACCGGAUCGGAGCUCCUGCUGCAUGGUGGUGGUUGGAAAGUUUCGGCGUUUGGGGCUGGACUCGCGGCUUAGCAGCUUGUUGGUGGGGUAGUGGCUUACCAAGGCUUUGACGGGUAGCCGGCCUGAGAGGGUGGCCGGCCACAUGGGGACUGAGAGACGGCCCAGACGCCUACGGGAGGCAGCAGUGGGGAAUAUUGCAGAAUGGGCGGAAGCCUGAUGCAGCAACGCCGCGUGCGGGAUGACGGCCUUCGGGUUGUAAACCGCUUUCGCCUGUGACGAAGCGUGAGUGACGGUAAUGGGUAAAGAAGCACCGGCUAACUACGUG
rnacentral:rRNA from 1 species